CGGGUAACGGAGAAUUAGGGUUCGAUUCCGGAGAGGGCGCCUGAGAAAUGGCGACCACUUCUACGGAAGGCAGCAGGCGCGCAAAUUACUCAAUCCCAAUACGGGGAAGUAGUGACAAUAAAUAUUAAUGCCUAUUCGUUUUUCGAAAGGUAAUUAAAAUGGGUACAAAUUAAAUCCCUUAACUAAUACAAUUGGAGGGCAAGUCUGGUGCCAGCAGCCGCGGUAAUUCCAGCUCCAAUAGCAUAUACUAAAGUUGUUGCGGUUAAAAAGCUCGUAGUUGAAACUAAAUUUGUAUUGGGUCCAAGUUCCUAGCCACUUUGGUGGUUACGGAAUUCCAGUGCAUUUUUUUAAACCUGCCCUUAAAGCCUCUACUUUGUAGUUGGUUUUCUUGGGUACUUCACUGUGAGAAAAUUGUGGUGUUCAAAGCGGGCGUCUCGCCUGAUCUUUUGCAGCAUGGUAUGAUAAAACAUGACAUUUUGUGCAAUUGGUUGCAUUUAAGUGUAAUGAUUAAUAGGGAUGGAUGGGGGUGU
rnacentral:rRNA from 1 species